rnacentral:lncRNA from 1 species
CGGAAAAAGUAAAUAUUAUUUACGAUUUUUUUUAAAUUUUUUUUGUACAUUAUCUCCCCCUGGAUAUUUGUGUGAGUUCAUAUACAAUACUUAGAGUCACUAAGGUUAUAAUUAUAUAUAUAGUGUUCACAUGACCAGUCCAGUGUGAGGUGUCAAGAUGGACUUAGUCAAAUCUGAGACAAACAGAGGAAAUAAUUCUGUGAUAUUUGAUGACCACAUAUAUAGGUUAUCAAAUGUUUAAAAUAAUGAAAAUAAAUCCUUCAGGUGUACCAAAAAAACCUGUAAAGCCAGGAUUACGACUGAUGCGGACAGCAAAACAAUUAUAAAAACUUUAAACGAGCAUAACCAUGGAGUAAACCAUCAGAAAGUAGAAUCUCAACAACUCAGAGUCAGAGUUCGGAAAGCAUCUGCAUGGUGAUAUAUGUUUUGGAAACUUAUAUAAGCCCGGAAUCUAGAUAUUCACCGUCAUUUUGGGCUGUUACACCCACUGCAAAUUUCAAAAGAACCAACAAUGGACCGGAGUAAUUCCAUACACAUUUUAAUGAACAAUUUUAUUCAAAACAUCAAGGUUUUAUUCAGGUUUUAACAUUACUUGUAUGAAUUUAGCAUUACUUGUAUGAUUUUAUCGAGGUUUUAACAUAACUUGUAUGGUUUUAUGAUAACUGAUUUCUGAGGAAUAUGUUUAAAACUUUCUUUAUUAUUAAAAGACUUUUUGAAAAAAUGUAUGUUUUAUACUAUUAUUACCUGUAUCUACAUGUAUUUACCUGUAUUUACCUGUACUUACCUGUGAUAUUGGCUCAAAUGAAAGAUUUAAUUUUUGCGCAAAUGAAAUAUGGUUUGUGGCGCAAAUGAAAGAUUUUUUUGGCGCAAAUGAAAUGCCAAUUGGCGCAAAAGCAAAGCA